CUCCAGGCAGCCUCAUCCCUCACUGCAGCUCUGGAAGCCUUUGUGACACCUGAGCAGCUGGAUGGUGAAAACUGCUUUAAAUGCAACAAAUGCUCUGAUCUGAGGCUUGGAGAAAAGGCUUCUUCCUCGCUGGCACCAUCAUAUGCGCCAUCCAUCCUCAGUCAGUGGGCAGCCUGCAGCAAGCAGGUGGCUUCUGUAGUCCCACAGGAUUUGCCUGACAGGACAAAGGAUAUGGUGCUGAGUGUGGAAGACCCGGGCCAGGAGGAGGCACAGAGCGCAUCCCCACUGUGGAGCGGGGAAGGCUACAGCUGUUUUUUGGACACCGCAGACUGUGAUGACGCUACAGGGAGGAACACGGGCCCUCCAAGUUGUGGCCAUGAUGCCAAGGAUGAUGCAGCUUCAGGACCUUCCAACAGGAGCUUGGAGUCAGCCUGUGGACCUGGGGAUGCUUGGGAGGAAACCCUGCUGAGGCAGAAAGAGACAAGCAGAUCCGCGUGGAGCGGCUACGACCUCCACAGCCGAAAACAAAUUCUCCCUGUUGUGACCACACCUCCUGUUGACAGUGCAGUUCGAGGGCCAUCCUGCAGCAGCUUGAGGCAGGCUCCCAUGCUUAAGGCUGGUCAAGAGGAAAUCCAACCACGGUGGAGAGAGCAGAGAAGAUCCCCAGAGCAUGGCUGUGACCUCCAUGGCCGUUCUGGGCAGUGCACAGACCAUCCCCGCUCUCUGAGCUAGAGGAGGAGAACAAAUCCUCCAGGAUGUGACAAAGCUCCAGGGGACAGUGCAGCUUCAGGGUUGUAGUUCAUUUAUUUAGUUUGGUUAAGGAUUUGUUGAAGCUUGUUAGGACGUUCUUGUUCCCCCUGUUGAUUGUAUUGGUUAGGCCCCAGUUGUCAGUUAUGUAACCCCCUCCUAUUUUACCUAAAUGUUCCCUGCCAAUCACCUUAGCCGUGCCCCUACCCUCCUAUCCAUCAUAGUAAACCCCAUCCCUUCUUCCAGAGCCUUCUGUAUCAAUCAAUUAUACCUCGAGGUCCCACUGGUUGCUGUAUCUUGCUCCCUCCCUCUGAACCCCUAUU